GAUGAAGAACGUAGCGAAAUGCGAUAAGUAGUGUGAAUUGCAGAAUUCAGUGAAUCAUCGAAUCUUUGAACGCACAUUGCGCCCCUUGGUAUUCCAUGGGGCAUGCCUGUUCGAGCGUCAUUUGUACCUUCAAGCCUUGCUUGGUGUUGGGUGUUUGUCUCGCCUCUGCGCGCAGACUCGCCUCAAAACAAUUGGCAGCCGGCGUAUUGAUUUCGGAGCGCAGUACAUCUCGCGCUUUGCACUCAGAACGACGACGUCCAAAAGUACAUUUUUACACUCUUGACCUCGGAUCAGGUAGGGAUACCCGCUGAACUUAAGCAUAUCAAUAAGCGGAAGGA
rnacentral:misc_RNA from 1 species